rnacentral:rRNA from 1 species
GCUCAGGAUGAACGCUGGCGGCGUGCCUAAUACAUGCAAGUCGAGCGAACGGACGAGAAGCUUGCUUCUCUGAUGUUAGCGGCGGACGGGUGAGUAACACGUGGAUAACCUACCUAUAAGACUGGGAUAACUUCGGGAAACCGGAGCUAAUACCGGAUAAUAUUUUGAACCGCAUGGUUCAAAAGUGAAAGACGGUCUUGCUGUCACUUAUAGAUGGAUCCGCGCUGCAUUAGCUAGUUGGUAAGGUAACGGCUUACCAAGGCAACGAUGCAUAGCCGACCUGAGAGGGUGAUCGGCCACACUGGAACUGAGACACGGUCCAGACUCCUACGGGAGGCAGCAGUAGGGAAUCUUCCGCAAUGGGCGAAAGCCUGACGGAGCAACGCCGCGUGAGUGAUGAAGGUCUUCGGAUCGUAAAACUCUGUUAUUAGGGAAGAACAUAUGUGUAAGUAACUGUGCACAUCUUGACGGUACCUAAUCAGAAAGCCACGGCUAACUACGUGCCAGCAGCCGCGGUAAUACGUAGGUGGCAAGCGUUAUCCGGAAUUAUUGGGCGUAAAGCGCGCGUAGGCGGUUUUUUAAGUCUGAUGUGAAAGCCCACGGCUCAACCGUGGAGGGUCAUUGGAAACUGGAAAACUUGAGUGCAGAAGAGGAAAGUGGAAUUCCAUGUGUAGCGGUGAAAUGCGCAGAGAUAUGGAGGAACACCAGUGGCGAAGGCGACUUUCUGGUCUGUAACUGACGCUGAUGUGCGAAAGCGUGGGGAUCAAACAGGAUUAGAUACCCUGGUAGUCCACGCCGUAAACGAUGAGUGCUAAGUGUUAGGGGGUUUCCGCCCCUUAGUGCUGCAGCUAACGCAUUAAGCACUCCGCCUGGGGAGUACGACCGCAAGGUUGAAACUCAAAGGAAUUGACGGGGACCCGCACAAGCGGUGGAGCAUGUGGUUUAAUUCGAAGCAACGCGAAGAACCUUACCAAAUCUUGACAUCCUUUGACAACUCUAGAGAUAGAGCCUUCCCCUUCGGGGGACAAAGUGACAGGUGGUGCAUGGUUGUCGUCAGCUCGUGUCGUGAGAUGUUGGGUUAAGUCCCGCAACGAGCGCAACCCUUAAGCUUAGUUGCCAUCAUUAAGUUGGGCACUCUAAGUUGACUGCCGGUGACAAACCGGAGGAAGGUGGGGAUGACGUCAAAUCAUCAUGCCCCUUAUGAUUUGGGCUACACACGUGCUACAAUGGACAAUACAAAGGGCAGCGAAACCGCGAGGUCAAGCAAAUCCCAUAAAGUUGUUCUCAGUUCGGAUUGUAGUCUGCAACUCGACUACAUGAAGCUGGAAUCGCUAGUAAUCGUAGAUCAGCAUGCUACGGUGAAUACGUUCCCGGGUCUUGUACACACCGCCCGUCACACCACGAGAGUUUGUAACACCCGAAGCCGGUGGAGUAACCUUUUAGGAGCUAGCCGUCGAAGGUGGGACAAAUGAUUGGGGUGAAGUCGUAAC